UAUUCUGCCCUACGGGGAAGGAUGAGAAGCUUCGACUAAGGUUCGACUCGAGCGUCAGCGAGAGAACGUUGCCACAGGCAACGGCCCGAAGGGCGAGGCGCUUUAGCUCCGAGUAAUCCUUCCCACACUACUG
rnacentral:sRNA from 1 species